ACACCGAAGGUGGACAAUCGCUUCACGCUCAAUUCAGCAUGUGACCUCUUUGGCUCUCAUUCGCUCACUCAGUCAAAUAGGGACUGAGAGGAGCAGUCUUCAAGUAUUUCCUUCUAUUCUCUUGUCUGCUUUCCGAUCCGAAGCUGAUUAUCACUCCGGGGCGACGCUCAGUUGGUGUGGCGGCUUCAUCGAAAAAGCAGGUGGGACACAUACGUGGAGGAACAAGCAGACACAGACCCUCCCUGGAACCAAAUCUGCCCCUCCAGAUCCUGUGCAAGUUGCCUGGAGAGCAGGGAGAACAAAAAGGAGGAAAGCUAUCUGUGCUUGGGGCAGUGCCUGCUGGGGUGAAGAAAGGUAGAAUCAUAGAAUCCUACCUUCUCCACCUGAUCCCCAGAGAGGUAAAAGCUGUAUUCCCAGGCCUCGCAGGGAAGGCCUCUGUGGAUGUGGAUUCCUUCAGCAGGUGUGCUGCUGCCACACUUGUUUCCAGCUCUUCCUGGCUUUAGAGACAGAAUGAAGAAGAAACCUUUCUACAUGACAGAGGAUGCCAGUGGUCAUAAUUAAACAUGUCUCCUCUUCCCAAAAGAACAUAACAUAAUGGAAGAUAAAGUCAAGCCUUGAGCAUGGCACUUAACAAACAUAAAAGCCCAUGCUUACCAAGGGCUUCUCACUAUUAGCUACUGUAUUUUAACGCAAAUAACACGUGCCUUCUAUGUUUGUUUGCCAACUGCGCCCCUCCCCCGAAGUAUUCUUUUAAAUGUGUUAUGCUAAUUUUUUACAGCAACAUGUAAAAAAAAUUGGCAUAGUAGUGCUUAUGAACAUACUUCACCGUGGGGGGAGGGUGCGAUUAGCGCACAAACAUAGAAGGCACGCGUUAUGUGCGUAAAAAUACGGUACUCUCUAGUCACCACAGAGCAGGUGGCGCUAGCAUCACAUUUCCCAAGUUAGGAACUGGGUCACAGAGAAUUUAAGCAAAUUUCCCAAGAUCACAAAUGUAGUAAAUAACACAGCCAGGAUUCAAGCCCGGAACUCCUAAGUCCUGACUCUGUACUGACUCCUGCUCUGCAGAAAUCGAAGAGCCAGGGAGGAACCGACCAAAGACAUGCACAGGCCUUCCCUCAGCUGUGCCUGUUCUUCUGUCUAGAAGAGAACUGCUAAUGUUAAGCCUGUGUUAUGAUUCACCUGCAAAACCCAGUCUAUGAACAAAUGACAGAAAUAAUGAAAAACAAAAACCAGCCAACUUGGAGAUAAAAAUAAAGCUCUUUUAAAGUUAAGGGCAACAGAAUUUGCAAGUUACUUCAACUCAAAGCAACAACAAAAUAAAAAUACUAAUUUCUAACUUCCUGAAAGUUAAACUCUGUAUCUGUACUAUCCAAUAUGGUGGCCACUAGCCACAUGUGGUUACUGAGCACUUGAAAUAUAGCCAAUGCAACUGAGCGAUGGAAUUUUAAAUUUCAUUUAAUUUUAAUUGAAAAACUGAAGCAGUGCAAAUAUUUUUUCCACUAAGUGCAACUUUAUUGUUCUGGUAGGGUGGCAUUUCUCUGCACGGCUAAAGAUACUACUAUUGUGUGCAGUGUGUGUCAGGUGCAAGCUCGGUUCAAGCAUUACACAUAAACACACCACUGAUCUAGUCAUGACUAACUGAUUCAGUUCAAAUGAUUUUUUUCUAUGCAUUGAUGUAACAUUAAAAUGCGUUUACUAUGCAGACAGCACAAGUUACAGUGAUAGCUGUACAAAUCAAAACUGGUAACUAAAGUGAAACAUAAUUAUUUUUCUAGAUAAAAAAUAAGUAUGGACAAAUCCUUAAAUUUAAAAUGAAACCAUACAACUUAUGCAGGAUCCAGUGGAGAUGCAGAAGCUGGUACUUAAACCAGAACAGAAAAAGAAAAAAAAAGGACUGCAAGAUGGUAUGUCACAAAUCUCACAGGGAAUGGCAACUGUAAUUUGCUGGGGCAGAGCAAAAGCAAAAAGUGAUUUGUUGUGUAAAAGACAUUUUCAGCAAAUGCAGAGUGAAUUUAAUAAGCAGUUUCCUCUGAGGAGUCAAAAAAAGAACGAAUAAAAUUAGUGGUCUAAAAUCAGAAUUAAAUUUCCAAUAAAAAUUUUUUUAAACAAAUUUUUAAUAGGAUCUGAACUUGUAACUUUGGUCAGCUACAAAAUGGCUUGGAUUCUUGCAUAAAAAUGGGUAUCAUUUUAGAUGGAGAGGUAGUGAAAGAAAUUCUGAGGAAAAGACUAAAAAAGAUAUUUUACAAAAGAGUGAAAGAUCUUCAAUUAAGCCACAUUUGCCCCCAGAGUACAAAGACUUUCUAGCAAUAGCAAAAAUUAAUUGAUUCAAAAUUUGAAUAUUGCAAAUAAUUUUCUUUAUCUUUAGAUGAGUCAUGUGACAUAAGAAACACUGCCCAAUCAAUACUUUAGGUAUAUUUUGUCUCAAAGGACUUCCAAAUGUAUGAAGUAUUGUCAGAUUGCAGCCUAAAAAAGCAAAAAAAAAAAAAAACUCGUGGUAGAGAUAUUUUAAAAUCUUUUUCACCAAAGAAGAAUUUCAUCUCCAUACAAAAAAUUAGUUUCUAUCACGACUUGAGAAUAAAAGCAAGUGCUUCAGCUAAGUUAGCUUAAAAAUGUAGAUUUACUGCGAUUUUUAAGAGACUGAUGUUUCCCUUACUGCGUCAUUCCACUGUGUGAUACAUUUUGAAAACAUUUGAGCUCAGUUUUCUGAAACAGACUCUAUGAAGUGUCAUGGAUACAGUUGCUAAAAUGGUUCAGUACAUACUUGUAAAUGCUACAAGCAUUCACCAGUUCAUGGAGCUGCUGAAAGAAACAGAAGACAAUGCAUUCAAUGCAAACUGUGUUCUCUGCCAGUGAUGAUUAGGUCAUGGAAGAGUCGUACAAAGAUAAACUGUACUGUUAACUCCAAUUCAGAUUUCCUUGAAAUAAAAGGGAUGCUUGCCAAAUUAUUAUUUUCAUUCAAUAAUUCACUACUUCAUUCAAUAAUCAAAGAUAAAAAAACAGCAGUGUGCCUCAGUGUUUUGUUAUCUAUAUCACACUGUACAUGAACAAGAUAUAUUUAAAGCUCCAAGCAAGGGAAAAGCUUAUUUGUGACUUAGACAAGUAUGAGAAUUUAUGUGCAAUUUCAUAAUAUAAACCAACAGUAAUGACUUUACACAUUUUUAUAACAUGAUUCAGUAUGCAGAAGACCUUAACUGUAAUAGACAGCAUUUUGCAAACUGGUUGCAAAAACCAAAGAAAAAUUUUCAGAAUGCUUUGUUGCUAUUGAAAAAUUCAGAGUUGCUUUUCAAUCUAUUUGAUACCGCUUUGAAUUUGAUAGUAAUAAUACUAAGUUGACACAAGUGUUGGUGAAUUUACUUAACUUUGACAGACAUAGUUUUGAAACUGAUACACUUUCGCUUCAAAGUCAAAUCAAUUCUUAUAAAAAUGGUGAACUGGUUUUGUCAAUGUGGAUACGAGUAUUAAAGGAAAAUGACUUUUUGGUAUUCAAUUUAGUUACUGAAACACUUUUACCUGAGAAUAACCUGGAUAUGGAAAGCUGCUUUUUCAACCAUAAAUUUUAUGAAAUCUAAAUAUAGAUCAAGUUAUUUCCAAUGAAAAUUUAGUGUCUAAAUUAAGAUGUGCUGUAAAUGAUAGAUUCAAAUUAGAUUCUGAAGACUCAGAAUGAAAAAAAAGUAAAAUCUCAUUAGUUAUUUAAAAAAAAUUUUAUUUGAUUUUAUUUUUGUUGUUGAGAAUGUACACAUAACAUACGCUAAUUCAACAUUUUCUACAGGUACAAU